rnacentral:misc_RNA from 1 species
AAACGAUUUUCUGCCUCGAGAGGAUUACAAAUAUAUAGUGGCGCUGAUCUGAUAUCCAAAUGCCUAAGCUCUGACAUUCUCCAGAUAUCGAGUGGUUGCUCCAACUCUUUCCUUCCAAGACCACCAAGAAUUAUGGUCUGUAGAUUUCUCAAUUUGGCUAGUGAAACACCUUUUCCAAUUUUUGCAGCAACAUAUCUCAAAUGUACAAGCUCAGGUAUUACACAAGAGAAAUCGUAAUAUACUGAUGAUACGUCCAACACCUUAAGCAACUUGAACUCUGAAACAGUGGAAUAAGUCUUUAAAUAUUGCGUUGAAAUAAAGGUACGAGUUAUACUUGUUAUAUCAUUG